rnacentral:rRNA from 1 species
UAACUUUUAACAACGGAUCUCUUGGCUCUUGCAUCGAUGAAGAACGCAGCGAAAUGCGAUAAGUAAUGUGAAUUGCAGAAUUCCGUGAAUCAUUAAAUCUUUGAACGCAAAUUGCACUUCUUGGUAUUCCGAGGAGUAUAUUUGCUUGAGGGUUGGUC